rnacentral:rRNA from 1 species
ACGGGGUGCAGCAGGCGCGAAACCUCCACAAUUCACGCAAGUGAGAUGGGGUUACCUCGAGUGCCAUCUGAAGAAGGUGGCUUUUCCAUGGUGUAAUGAGCCGUGGGAAUAAGGGGGGGGCAAGACUGGUGUCAGCCGCCGCGGUAACACCAGCCCCCCGAGUGGUGGGGAUGAUUAUUUGGCCUAAAGCGUCCGUAGCCAGCUCGGUAAACCUCUCGUUAAAUCCAGCGUCCUAAGCGUUGGGCUGCGAGGGAAACUGCCGAACUAGAGGGUGGGAGAGGUCAGCGGUAUUCCUGGGGUAGGGGCGAAAUCCAUUGAUCCCAGGAGGACCACCAGUGGCGAAGGCUGCUGACUAGAACACGCCUGACGGUGAGGGACGAAAGCUGGGGUAGCGAAUCGGAUUAGAUACCCGAGUAGUCCCAGCCGUAAACGAUGCAGGCUAGGUGUUGGGUCGGCCACGCGCCGCCUCAGUGCCACAGGGAAGCCAUUAAGCCUGCCGCCUGGGGAGUACGGCCGCAAGGCUGAAACUUAAAGGAAUUGGCGGGGGAGCACCACCAGGCGUGAAGCCUGCGGUUUAAUUGGAGUCAACGCCGGGAACCUUACCGGGAGCGACAGCAGAGUGAAGGCCAGGCUGAAGGUCUUGCCAGACGAGCUGAGAGGAGGUGCAUGGCCGUCGCCAGUUCGUGCCGUGAGGUGUCCUCUUAAGUGAGGUAACGAACGAGACCCGCGCCCCAUGUUGCCAGCAAAUCCUAAAGGGAUGUUGGGCACUCUUGGGG